GGUCAAUGUGGUGUAGUGGUGUGGGUGUUGGACUAUGACUCUGGAGACCAGGGUUCAAAUCUCUGCUUGAGCA